rnacentral:rRNA from 1 species
CCUACGGGUGGCAGCAGUGAGGAAUAUUGGUCAAUGGGCGGAAGCCUGAACCAGCCAAGUCGCGUGAGGGAUUAAGGCCCUGCGGGUCGUAAACCUCUUUUGCCGGGGAGCAGUGGUCCGGACGCGUCCGGACCGGGAGAGUACCCGGAGAAAAAGCAUCGGCUAACUCCGUGCCAGCAGCCGCGGUAAUACGUAGGAGGCGGGCGUUAUCCGGAAUGACUGGGCGUAAGGGAUGCGUAGGUGGUUUGGCAAGUUAGUAGCGAAACUCCAAGGCUCAACCUUGGAACUACUACUAAAACUGUUGGACUUGAGUGCAGGAGGGGCAACCGGAAUUCCUAGUGUAGCGGUGGAAUGCGUAGAUAUUAGGAGGAACACCAGUGGCGAAGGCGGGUUGCUAGACUGUAACUGACACUGAGGCACGAAAGCGUGGGGAGCAAACAGGAUUAGAUACCCUUGUAGUC